CAGAGGACGGCGCGAGAGGCGGGAGAAGAGAAGGAAGGAGGGAGGCGAUGCGGGGGGGAUGAGAUGGGCGGCGGCGCGCGCAGGUGUGCAUGUGAGGAGCGGCUGAGGGCGAUAUGCGCAUGCGUGCGCGCCGCCGUUGCCGUCACCCAGCGCACGUGGCCGCGCACCUUCACCGUGAGAGCCGCGCUCGAAGCGCGGGCGUCUCCUUAGCGCCGCCGCUGGCCCGUGUGGAGACGCCGUCUGUGGCGGGGUGAUCACGUCGUCACGAGGGGCCGGCAGAAGUCCCGGAGGGGAAAUAUGUCUGCGUGAGUGUUUGGGACCGACGAUCCUAAGACGCAGCCGCCCCGAGCAGCCUCACUGCCUGAGGUGGCCCUGCUGGCCCGGCAUCGGCAUCUCCUGUACUGCCUGAGGGGUGGCCCUCGGACAUGGCGGCCGCUGCCUCUGCACUGCCACCUCUAGCUGGAAUAUGACUCACAGCAGUUCAGACGUUACGUUCCGAGGGCACAGAGGCCCUGUCAGUCACAUCCAGCCCACUCCGUUGGAGUGGGAGCACAGCCCUAGAAGGUCACUGAGCCCCAGCGUCUGCCAGCACACCUGCCACUGCAACCAGGGCAAGCGGCCUUUAAAUAACCCUUUUUGUCCCUUUCCACCUGUUGUGGAAGAGCUCAGUGCAGCCUCAUAGCUACAGUGAGCCCUGUUUUGCUCUUAAAGUAACAGCUGAGCCACUCUUUUCUACCAAAAAUGCUGCAUAUCACUCGCAAGUGAAUAUCAUGAUGCAGAUCAAGCUAAGAAACAGACACAGCUUUGAUGAAGUAGAAACUUGCCCUUUGUGGUUUGCUUUCCAGUCACACAACAUUCUCACAUUCUCUCUGCCUCCCUUUCCUUUCCUUGGCCGCCUCCUCAAGUUGCCCUUCCAAUGCACUUAGCCAACAAGGCCUGGAUCAGCUCCUGCCUCCUCAGAGGCACCACUAUAGUAUCCCACUUCCCGUUCACACCUUUUGCUUCCAAAUCCCAAGGUUUUUUUCCUUUGUGUUCCUUGCUGUCACUUCCUGCCAGCUACGUCUGCUCCCACUGCCACCCACAACUGCUGUGGCACAACCACAGUUUGCACUGUGCUUCCCCAUGCAAACAGGAGAGGAGCUGCCACCUGUGCUAGACAAAGCAACAAAGCAUCACAACUUAAUGCAAGAUGAUCAACUUCUCCCCUCGAGGGUGGUCUCAAGGCCUUCCUGAUACCCAACACAGCAACAAAGCUUCUCUUGUGCUCUGUCUGCAUCUCCCGAGAUUGAUUAAUAUGGAUGUUUUCACACUCAGACAAGGUAAGGUAAGCUCAAGUACGCAGCAUGAUUUUCUUUCUUCUGUUUUCCUUUAAUCUCUUCACUAUGCAACUGUGUAUGUUUGCUUUUUUUCCCUUUUUAUCACUGGUAAUAUACUAUUCUGUUCUAUAGAUUGGUCUUUCAAGGUCCACAAUUUGAAAAUGUAGGCUGUAUAACUGAAAGCCAGUUCUGUGAUGAUCAAAGGGACAUAUGCUUACUCCCUACUACUUCUUCCACACAUAAAGCAGUAUGUAUUCCUGAAGUAUGAUUUGUCUGUUCCACUGAUGUAUACCCUUUCACCCAAACUGACCAGUUGCUUUUACAGCCUUUUCAAAGGAGAACCUCACUUUCAGUUCAGCUGCAGUCUGACUUUUGGGUAUAAUUCAUAAAAGGUCUCCCAACAACAGGUGCUUACAUACUGCUGGGGCUUGGCUCAGUUUGACAGCAACUCAUGGAAUGAUGCUUUCUCUGCACUCCCUUCAUUGCUUUAUAGAGAUGUAAUGAAAUAAAACGAAGCCACUGAGUAAGAGUAGUUGUUGAGAAGGAAGGAUGAAAGCAGAGCACCUAGUGGCUGUUGCCACUGAAUUGAUUUACUGUUUGUUCUUGCUGCACUGUCAACAUUUAUGCUCAGGAAGAACAUGACUCAAGUAUUUGUGAAAAAGCAAGCAGCACAAUUCUCAACUCAGUCUGAAACUGUUCCUCUUUGUAAGGAUCCUAAAGCCCAUGUAGUUUCAUUAAAAAGGAAGGAAAAUGGCAUCUAGUGAUAUAGAGCCUUGUUACAUGAGUUAUCUGCUGUUACACAAGGUUUUCCAGAAAUUACAUGUGAUGCUCAGACAUAAGACUAUGCUUGAUUUCAUGAUAACACUAAAAACAAACAUCCCACUUAGAAAAACUUGUUUUUGUAAUCAAUACUUAGUCAGUCACUUUCCUUCACUUCUACCUAAUGUUUUUCAUUAUCUGUAAUUAACACCUAAGGCAGUUUCAGUCCUUGAGUAACUAUUGAGGGGUUAAAAUGUACAGUUACAAUCCUGUGAAAUAAGAGAUAUGUUAAUGCGUUUGGAGAAUAUGGUGUCCUCCUCCUCUCCCCUUCUCCUGUAUAUGUAUAUAUUAUAUCAGAUAUAAUAGACAGCUCACUCUUUUUCCUGAACGACACCAUCCAAGUAGCUCUGCUGCCUGCAUCACAAGUAGCUUUUUUCCAUUGGUAUUACAGUUUGUAUUCCUGCUCUUCUCUGAACUUCAAGUUGUAUGGUUGAAGGUACAAAACUGGACUGUCUGUGGUACCUUUCCAGCUGAGUGCCCGAGUCCUCCCGUGCUGUCAAAUAAAGGAGUUAGAUCUUCACAUCCUUCGGGGUGGCAGUGACGCUCAGAUAAGUGAAGAAAACUCGUGUUCGUUUUCCUCUGUGUAUAUGUAAACGUCUGGGGGGUGUUGGCAGCUCCUGAUAGUGAUUAAUGGCCUUACAGUUUACAUAGAGUAUAGUGGUAGUUGCUUGUUGUUCUCAAGAAUGGAAUAAACAGGGCCUAUUCAUAAAGACAGUCUCCUCUUUGAUGCAGAAGUUCAGAUCUCCCAAUGUUUCUUUCUUUAGAUAGAUAUAUUACUACAAGACAGAGACAUAAUUGGUAAUUGUGCCUAGUUUUUGUAACAUCAGCUGUACCUAUUAAACGUGGACCCUUGAUUUGGUGAGCGAAGCCAGAAAACGUGCUAAAUCCUCACAAAUACAAUGUAAUGGUGUGUGAAAAAGCGAAGAAUAAAUUUCCCACUAAGUAUUCCUGCUAUACAGAAUGGGCACACAUAAAAUCAUGCAAGUCAGCGUGAUGAAUAGCAGCUUAACGUUUUUAUAGCCCUCCAUCCAGAAGAAUCUCACAGAAAUUAUUGUAUAGAAAUAGAAAACAAGGAUCAUUUUAACACUGGGAGCCUGGUCUUCCACAGAAGCUUUGCAGGCUGACGCUCUGUAUUUGAAACAAAGAUCCCCCUGGCAGUGCAGUGCAAGACAACAUUUUUUUUUAGAGUGUAUGAAAGUUUUUAAAUGACUGAAUACACCAAGGAGUUGAAGGCUGAACAACACUUGAAGCGCACAUAAGCUCGUACUUGAUAGUAAAGUCUGACUGACAUAUCAGUGCUUACUCUAAGCAGCAGGCAGAGGCACACCGGCUGGUUUGCUGCGUGUAAUCAGUUUGACAGCCCCCAGGAAUUGCCGAGUCUCCAUGACCCUGGAAAGACAGUUUGGCACAUAUAUUAAACAAAUACCUCCCCUCCAACUGUUUAUUCAUCUCCACUAGUCACAGACCUUCCCAGCCUGCGCUCACAUUAGCACUGAGUGGUUAGAUAAUGAUGGAAGAAUCUUCCACGUGUCCUCACAGUUGUUGCAGUCAGAACCCUCAGAUGAAAAUACUGCCGGAUUAAAUACUGCCUUUGAAGCAGGAUGGUGCUUCAGUAGCAGAGACAACACAGUGAGUAAUGUCGUAUAAUUGAGUAAAUCCAAUGAUUCCGUUGGGAUUUUUUUUUCCCCUUAGUUUUUGGCUAAGUUCCCAUUAGAUGUAGUUGCUAAACUUCAUUUUUAUUCUUUCCUAAACCAACAUUUUUAACUUAGCAGAGUGCUCGCCUGUAAUCUAGGAAGAGCUGGAUGGUCAUCUGACACUUUUUCUCAUUCCCAGAUACUAGAGACAAAAAGGCAGCCUAUACAUAUACAUAUACAUAUAUAUACAUAUAAACAAUGUAAAAAUAAAAUAAAAAUUCUUAGUCAGUGAGACCUAAGACACUUCUGAACAUGAGAUGUAGGCUCUUCAGAUCUGUGAGUGCUUAUGAAUGUUUUGUUUCUUCCUUUCUCAUAAGGUGAAGGGUUGUGAGUAGUGCAGGGAGCUGAAACGAUCUGUUCCUUCCAGAAUAUAAGGGGAAAAUGCUUACUGGAAGAUUCUCUUAAAGUUACAUUUGGAAUUGUGAAAUUAAGAGUCCCUGUCCAGAGAGACGUAUCUACCUGUCCAGAUGUGCUACUGCCACUUCCAGAUGUGGAUAUCCAUCUCCUCCAGCCUGAGGAGUUCACAGCUCAAGAUGGGAUCUGGAAUAUACAAAAGACUUGUUCAGAAACAUGUAUUGGCAUGUGCCAGAGUGGUUCUUCACUAUCUGCAGUGCCCGCAGGAUACUGAGAUUUCUCUGAUGCAUUCGUACCUGCAGAUCUUCCAGCCCUUUCGUUAGGGAUACUCAAUCACUAGUUCUGCAGGACAGAAUUAGGGCCAAUCCAUUCUGUGCUGAGGCUGUGGGAGCCUUCAGCCAAGCUCAGUACGGCUAGAAUGGUUUCACAGAAAAUGUCUGAAAAACAUUAGAUUUACUUGAAACAAUCUGAUCGUUAAUCAAUACCUGUUGUAGAUGGUUUAAUGUUUGCAUUUGAGGCUCUUCUACUACAUACAAUCUUGUGGAAUGAAAGCUCUGAACAGAAGUUGUUGGACAAACUGACCACUCACAGAAGGUAUUCCUAGGUAGAACAAUCAAUCACUAACAGACACUUUCAGACUGAAAUACUGCAAUAUUAAUACUGGGAGGUACUCUGGAAUAGCUGUGCCAGCUAUGUUUUAGUGUAGAAGGACCCAAAAUAAUAAACAGAGGAAGUAGCUAUUUGCCUUUGCUUUCUGCUCUGUCCAGAGAAAGACUAAUUUCCUUGUAGCUAGGGCAGAAGGUCCAGUACUGGAUAGAGUCCUUAUAAAUAGACACUGUAGAUCUGGAUCAAAAGUACUCAAAUCAUAGAAUGGCUUGGGUUGGAAGGGAACCUCAAAGAUCGUCUAGUUCCAACCCCCUGCUGUGGGCAGGGUUGCCAACCAUUAAAUGUGUGUGAAAGCUGAAUCAAAGGUUUAGGAUAUCUAAGCAGUAGGGAUGCAGCAAUGUUGAGGAGUCACAAAACUAUACUUUCUUCUUCUGUAGGUUUUCCUUCAGAGAGCUUCAGAUAAUCAUCUCUCACUUUUCCACUCGCGGGGAAGUUAAGAAGCACACCCCUUUUCCACAAACAGAAUCCAUAAACAUUUGCUUUCCAGUACUUUAUGGCCAAUUCUCUAAACUCGUAUUUAUCACCCCCUUACUCCUAUGAAGGAAAAUUCUUGCUGAGUCCUAAACCAAGUUGAGUUCUUCCAGAUUUGGGCCCUCAGGAAGAGCCAUAAAGACCACAGUUUUACGCAGUGUAUUCCAUCCAUUGUCUUGCUACCCAGGGGCAGCAGCUUUUGUGGGAAUCACGAAGGACUUCCCUUGUUACGGAGAGCGCUAUCGAUACGUGAACUCUCAGGGGAAGUAACCUCUGUUUCUAUGCAGGAAAUAUCAGAUUAAAACAAAUACACUGAAUAUUGCUCAGUGAAGAGUGAGUAUGAUAUUUACAAUCCUGCUGCCUCCAGUUGGCGUUACUCAGACAUCCGCAGCACGUCUUGAGCUUUCUGUGGGAGUGCAGUGACAGAAGAGGUGAAACAAAAAGGAGGAGAAUGCGUAGAGAUGUCAUACACAGUUUUUGCUAUAACAAUGCAUUGUACACAUUAUUCUUUUCAUCUGAGAAUGUCAAAGCUCGUAAAAGAAUCUAGCUAAAUAUAAAAACUCUGUGAGAAAAGUAAUUCUUGUAUUGAUUAACUACAUGCCAGAGUUAUCCAGUUAUCCCUCAUUAGAGCCAGAGACAGAAUGUAGGAAUAGAGCUAGGCUUCAGCUUCAGCUACAUAAAAUGCUGCUCGAGUUGCCAACAAUGAAGAUCUGCAAGUGGAAUUUGGUUAAUUGUGUCAGUCUGUAGGAACGCUUAUUAUUUGUGGGUAUUACAAUGGCUCUGAGAGUCCUGAGAGUCCUGUAACUGCCAUCCCUUUGCGCAAGGUGCUGUCUGAACACAAAGCAAAGAGGUGGCUCUGGCUUGGAAGGAUCUGAAGUCUUUGAGGACGUUGUUUGACUCAUUUUUCUGCUAGAAGGUCCUGCUUAUACAUUCCCCCCCCCUCCCCACAUUCCUCCUCUCUUCCCCAUCGUGCUGGCCUUGGAUUGUGCCAGUGCUGGUUUUUUUGUGCAGCCUCGUGUUAAACUGAAUCGGGAACCUGAUUUCAAUUAAAAAAUAGUCCUCAGAAAAACACUUAUUUUUAACUGAGACUAAUACUCUGAUCUGUUCCCUGCUGCAGAUGCACAAAGAAUGCCACAAGAGACAAGGUCGCGUAACGGCAGUGGCACGACUGGAAAAUAAUUUCAUCUGCCUUUACAAAGAAAGCUGAGGAGGGUGUAAAACAAAGUAGAGACCGUUUCCCUCCCACCACAGCCGUACGUCUAUUAUCUGACUCACCACUUCUGGGAUUCCUUCUGGCAGUGCUGGUUUUAUUGCAAUGAAAACUCAAGCGUGUGAAAAAUAUUCCCUAUUUUCUGAGGACUGUUCUAUUCUCUGUUCACUGUUUCGUUCAGAAGUGGCUGUAGCACCAGGUGUAAGAUGAUUUUGCUGUUCCAGCUAAACUGACAACAUGCAAACUCUUUAAACGGAGAGGCUCCCAGCUGCCACCACACUUGCAGCACCACGACAGCCAGAAAUUGGGAUCCCAAGCCUUUCGAUAUGCCAUGGCUCCUGGCCCUGUGCCAGCUCUUCCUUGCCGUUCAGAAUCCGCCUGCAUGGAGUCUUCACACUCCUGUGGUGGCAGCUUGCUGCCACCUGCAACAAAGCAAGCUUUCCCUAUGCUCCUUCCACAAAGGUAUCCCAUUUUUGUCACGUUGGACUGAAGUCUCUUAUUAUCGAUGUGGGAAUAGCUAUGGGAUAUACAAUACCUGUACUGUGCAAGAAAUCCUACCUAUAAUGUUUAAAAGGGACCCCUCCUCCCAUUCUGAUUCUACAAACCCUAACAGAUCUAUGACUAAUGGAGAUGGAUUAUUUUUAUAACAUAUAAUGCAUGUAUGUGCAACAGAACUUCAGAAAUGAGCCAACAUCUUUUCUGCCAAAAUUUCAAGUAUCAUUUUCAAAGCAAACGGGAUCGCAUUUGCAGAGGGAAUUUGGGCAAGGGGUGGGGGAAGAACAAGGUCAGGAGUGGAGAAUAAUGUAUAAGCCCUGUAUGAAUGAACCCAAAGAAGCAAUGGCUAGAGGACUCACACAGCCUGAGGUUACACACUUGGAAUCCACAUGAGGGCCUGAGCCCUCGUUAAGCUGCUGAACAUCUAGCUGGCUGCACAGAUGCUGUGCUCUGAAUGCAGCACAGCUGUGGUGACCUU
ensembl:lncRNA